rnacentral:lncRNA from 1 species
AUGGGCCGGUGCCAGGCUGGGAAGGGAAUGGCAGGGCUGCCCUGGGCAGCAGCAGCAGCAGCAGCAGCAGCAGCAGCAGCAGCAGCAGCAGCAGCAGUCAGUUCCACUCUCAGCAGCAGGGAGGGGAUGGAGGCUCUCCCUGAGCAGCCUGGGAUCAGUUCUGAGCCUGGAUUGGGGGCUCUCCUUGCCUGGGAUGGGGAGCUGGGCAGUUCUGGAGCCCUCAGUGAGGUUUCCCACAAGGACAAAGCUCUUCCCACCGUGGCAGGGUGGGGAACCCUCAGACACACGGCAGUGCAGCUCAGGAGAUGCUUUCAGUCCAAGGCAGCGUGGAGCCAGCACGAGGAGCUGCAGAGAUGCUCUGGGAAGGCUCCAGGUCCAUCCCCAGCCCCUCCUGCCCACCCGAGCAGGAUUUGGCUCUGGAGCACAGCAGAGAGCCCAGAGCCAGGCUGGCUCCGAGGGGACACGGGGGUGACAGCAGGGAUGUCCCCAUGCAGGUGGAUCCGUGGGACUGAGCAGCUGUGGGGCCACCCCUCACUCAGCCUCUCUGGGGAGGCAGUGGUGAGGAGGAAAAGGGGAAUUGGUUCUCAUGGGCUUUGGGGAGGCCACGCUGGGACUGGAAAGCUUCAGGAGUGACCCAACUCCAGGCAGCCCAGGGAGCUUGUGGCACACCCCAAUCCGUGCAUGCCAACCCCUGGCAUUUGGGAAAACUCCCUCCCUGCCUCUCCAGCAGGAGCUGUCACUGAUCCCAGCCUGGGCGUGAAGCUCUUGCAGGCUCAGCCUCUUGGCUCUGCAGUCACCAGCAGAGAUUCCUCACCCCACCAGCAGCAGCCUGAGCAGAGCAGAUCCAAUCUGAGGUCAAGUUCCCACUAAAAUCAAGUGGCUGGCAAGGAAAACUUCGUUACGGGCGGCAGCAGCAGCGGCGGGGCUGAUGUUUAUUAGUCAGCAAUGAACAGCAGAAGGUUUUAUUUUGCUGCUUUUACAGCACUGCUGGGCCCUGGCUGCAGCUCCCUCCCAGCACAUUUUGCUUUUCCUGCCCUUUUUUCCUCGGUGAGCUGUGGAGAGGUGGCCAAGGAGAGCCCCCAGGUGCCCCUGCCCUGCUCCAUCCUGCCUCAGUGGCUUUGGGAUGGUGGUGGCAGCGCCCCACACCCCUCAUUCCUCACCUGCAGCCCCUGAUCCCAUCCCAGAAAGGCGGGGACACAUUUCAGAUGCCACUCUGAGCACCCCAAGUGUCACUGACAAAGCUGGGCAGGGAAUUCCCAGGAUUUCUGCAUUUUUCCGGGGUUAAUCAUAACAAACCAGUUCUGAGGGAGGUGCAGCUGCUGGGAACAGGGGUCUCCCCCUCAUCCAUUGGGAUUUUGGUGGCGGGGCUUGCACGGACACGGCUGGGAUGGUUUGGCCUGGCUGCAGGUGAGUUCUGGGGGCUCUGGACAUCCCUCUGCCCAUCACACAGCCCCUUCCCCAUCACUCACACAGCCCUCUACCCAUCACUCACAUAUCCCCUUACCCAUCUCACAGCCCUCUACCCAUCACACAGCCCCUUCCCCAUCCCACAGCCCCUUCCCUGUUGCACAGCCCCUUCCCCAUCACAUAUCCCCUCCCCAUCACUCUCACAGCCCCC